UACGUAGGGUGCGAGCGUUGUCCGGAAUUAUUGGGCGUAAAGAGCUCGUAGGCGGUCUGUUGCGUCUGCCGUGAAAACCCGAGGCUUAACCUCGGGCCUGCGGUGGAUACGGGCAGACUAGAGGUAGGUAGGGGAGAACGGAAUUCCCGGUGUAGCGGUGAAAUGCGCAGAUAUCGGGAGGAACACCGGUGGCGAAGGCGGUUCUCUGGGCCUUACCUGACGCUGAGGAGCGAAAGCGUGGGGAGCGAACAGG
rnacentral:rRNA from 1 species